rnacentral:rRNA from 1 species
AGAGUUUGAUCCUGGCUCAGGAUGAACGCCGGCGGUGUGCCUAAUACAUGCAAGUCGUACGCACUGGCCCAACUGAUUGAUGGUGCUUGCACCUGAUUGACGAUGGAUCACCAGUGAGUGGCGGACGGGUGAGUAACACGUAGGUAACCUGCCCCGGAGCGGGGGAUAACAUUUGGAAACAGAUGCUAAUACCGCAUAACAACAAAAGCCACAUGGCUUUUGUUUGAAAGAUGGCCUUGGCUAUCACUCUGGGAUGGACCUGCGGUGCAUUAGCUAGUUGGUAAGGUAACGGCUUACCAAGGCGAUGAUGCAUAGCCGAGUUGAGAGACUGAUCGGCCACAAUGGAACUGAGACACGGUCCAUACUCCUACGGGAGGCAGCAGUAGGGAAUCUUCCACAAUGGGCGCAAGCCUGAUGGAGCAACACCGCGUGAGUGAAGAAGGGUUUCGGCUCGUAAAGCUCUGUUGUUGGAGAAGAACGUGCGUGAGAGUAACUGUUCACGCAGUGACGGUAUCCAACCAGAAAGUCACGGCUAACUACGUGCCAGCAGCCGCGGUAAUACGUAGGUGGCAAGCGUUAUCCGGAUUUAUUGGGCGUAAAGCGAGCGCAGGCGGUUGCUUAGGUCUGAUGUGAAAGCCUUCGGCUUAACCGAAGAAGUGCAUCGGAAACCGGGCGACUUGAGUGCAGAAGAGGACAGUGGAACUCCAUGUGUAGCGGUGGAAUGCGUAGAUAUAUGGAAGAACACCAGUGACGAAGGCGGCUGUCUGGUCUGCAACUGACGCUGAGGCUCGAAAGCAUGGGUAGCGAACAAAAGUAGAUCCCCUGGUAGUCCA